rnacentral:rRNA from 1 species
UACGUAGGCAGCGAGCGUUGUUCGGAAUUACUGGGCGUAAAGAGUGUGUAGGCGGUGCUCCCAGUCUGUUGUGAAAUCUCCCGGCUUAACUGGGAGGGUGCAGCGGAAACUAGAGUGCUAGAGGGUGGGAGAGGUAAGCGGAAUUCCUGGUGUAGCGGUGAAAUGCGUAGAUAUCGGAAGGAACAUCAGUGGCGAAAGCGAGUCCCUGGACAACUCCUGACACUGAGGCACGAAAGCUAGGGGAGCAAACAGG